CUAGGAAGACAGGAACAGCAGACAG
rnacentral:piRNA from 1 species